CCUAGGGUGGCAGCAGUGGGGAAUAUUGGACAAUGGGCGAAAGCCUGAUCCAGCCAUGCCGCGUGUGUGAAGAAGGCCUUCGGGUUGUAAAGCACUUUCAGUGGGGAAGAAAGCCUUGGGGCUAAUACCCUCGAGGAAGGACAUCACCCACAGAAGAAGCACCGGCUAACUCCGUGCCAGCAGCCGCGGUAAUACGGAGGGUGCGAGCGUUAAUCGGAAUUACUGGGCGUAAAGCGCGCGUAGGCGGUCUGAUAAGCCGGUUGUGAAAGCCCCGGGCUCAACCUGGGAACGGCAUCCGGAACUGUCAGGCUAGAGUGCAGGAGAGGAAGGUAGAAUUCCCGGUGUAGCGGUGAAAUGCGUAGAGAUCGGGAGGAAUACCAGUGGCGAAGGCGGCCUUCUGGACUGACACUGACGCUGAGGUGCGAAAGCGUGGGUAGCAAACAGGAUUAGAUACCCGGUAGUC
rnacentral:rRNA from 1 species